CUAAUCCAUUUCCCUCUCUUCUCGCCCUGUUCUUUCCCCAAAUCCGACGAUGAGAGACAACCGCUGCCGCGACGCAGCCGAAGACGGGGGGCAGGGAAGGGGAAGGGCUGGAGCGCGGUGGGGACCCGCUUCUCGUCGCCGGCGUAGGUACGGUCGCCCGUUCGGCUGCUCCCUGCCCAACCAGAUCCAGCCCCAUCGUCGUUGUUCCCCGCCGUCGUCGACGGGAUGCGGCCGUCGUCUACUUCCUCUGCCCGAGGGAUGGAAACGUCGGCACUGGAGUCGUGGCCGUGGCGGGGAAGGCGAACCCAGCGCAGCUCUGCCAGUGGCUCAAGAGGAAGAUAAGCAAGGAUGUCAAGAUUUUCCGCCGUUGUCCAAACGGGCUGAGAAUUGUAAUAAGCAGGUAUGCAUCCCUCUUGUCUACUUGUACUGCAGAAUGAAGGAUGAUGUGUGUAAUAUCCAAAUGAAUGCACGUUAUUACGAAGGGCUAGCCGUGUGGGGUUAAGGUGCUCGCCGGCGGCGACCUGCGUGGCUCUCGGCCUGCAUCCUCGCUGAACUCAACACCAACUAUCGCGCGCCCGCGAUGUGACUGCUGUUGCAACAACGACGGCCAACGGCUAUUGAACGACGAGGAUGCCCUUCGGGGGUUAUAGCAUGCAAAGCAAAGCAGUUGCUCAAUACUCACAGCCAAUAUAUCUCCGUGUAGAAGCAGAAGAAGCAGCAAUUGAUUCGAAAUGAGAGUAAUGAAGCAUAUAAUGUUGAACGAUAGUCACAAGCUGGCUACCUGAUGGAGACUACGCUGGAUACCUGAUGUUUGAGUUGGAUAGAAUACAUGUUUUAGUUGGCUAUAAUACAUGGGUACCUGCACACAACCUUGUGUAUGCUUGUUGCACACAUCCAGGGGAAAGUUGGCUAUUUAACCAUGUUUAGUUGCACAGGGAACUACAUCAACCUUUUUUCUACUAUGAUGCAUUUUUUCACCCGUGGA